GGAUGCGAUCAUACCAGCACUAAAGCAUCGGAUCCCAUCAGAACUCCGAAGUUAAGCAUGCUUGGGCGAGAGUAGUACUAGGAUGGGUGACCUCCUAGGAAGUCCUCGUGUUGCAUUCC
rnacentral:rRNA from 2 species